CGAUGCCCUGCCAUCUGGUUUGGUCUGCAAAGCUGCUUUUUAGCUAACUCUGCUGUAACAUGUCUGUAAACUUUAGCUGCUAACGCUGCUGCUCAUUAAGGUAUAUCAUAAUCAAGCUCGCCUAUUAACAGUCCUAAUGUCGCUUCGUUUGGUGCUAUUAGCUGUUCCCUGACUUCCAUGCUCACUUCAAGCCACCAAGCUAAAGUUUUCUGUCCUGCUUGGAACCACUCACUGCAACCCUUCCCGGAGACACUUCACCAAUUGGCAACAUGCUCCAUCCACGCUCCUCUUCCUCCCAAACCUCCCCCCACCCUUCAUCCAUGAGGCAUCUCACGAGUGGCAACGACGAACCCCACCUGGCAUACUGGUGCCGGCGCCAUCUGGUCGCGGCCAAGGCUCGCCAUCGGGCCCGCAACUCUGCACACAGCCUCUGCUGAGCUGACGAUGGAUUUUUGGCUCUUGGGACACCUGUCCAAGAUGUUUACUCUGGAUUGACACUUAGCCUGCUGGGAGGAUAGGGUUGUAGAGACAGACUUGAGUCUGUUCCACAUUCCCUCAUCUUAACAACCUGUUCACUUAGAGGAAUAUAUCAAAUAAGUGACUGUCUGAAUGAUGAUUUGUCCCAUCCAUAAUACGAUAAACAUACUUAUAUUAUCAGUGUUGGUAUAUAAAUUUCAAAUAUUAUAAACCGAAGUGUUUCUGUGCUAUAAAUGAUUGCCAUUACAAAUGAUUUAAAAUGCACAUAUUACGUAUCUAGGACACAGGUGUAGUCCUCCACAGACAGAUAUGAAUAAAUGUGUCCAUGCACUUACAUAGACCCAAACACACACACACACAGGUGGGACAUCUCAUCUUAGUCAUUCUUGUAGACGGCAGACUUUCAUAGAAUCCAUCUGCAAAUUCAUCCAGCCGCACUAGAAAAACGUCACCACUUCUGCAUGUGACUGUGGAUGUAGUAUGCCGGCACAUAUUUCUAAUGUGUUAAAGAUCAAAUUUGGAUCCAGGAAAACAUAUACUAUAAUCAGACUGAACAGACCAAACACAAAUUUAAACUUUUAUUUCAGUGGAAUCAAGUUACAUUGUGCCU